rnacentral:lncRNA from 10 species
GGCGACUCAACAUCACACUGAGACAGAUAUGAGCCCUGCAUUUCUGAAUGCCUUGAAAGAAAAACCAGCAAGUUGGGAGGGCCGUGUCUCCUUAUCAUCUUCCAGGAAUUCAAAACCGUGAUUUCCAGUUUCCAAAUGCAACUCAAGCUCCAUCACCCUGUACAUCUUGCACGGUUUCUCCAGCAUAUCCUGAUCGCCACCUCCAGACCCUUCUGAUAGAUUCAUUACCUGAAUCUAUUUGAUCCUGAACUCCUGCUCUCCCUUGGCUCAACCUCAUCACAGCCAGAAAGGAUGAGAGCUCUUUAAUGAAGUGCAUACAUGUCAGUUUCCCAGGACACAAACCAAAGUAAAGAAGAAUGGAGCAUGCUCCUAUAAAGGAAAAUAAAAGGAGAUCCAUAAAGCAAAUCCAACUCAUGGACACUUACUAAACAUGCACUGUGUUCAUGUAAUGGCUCCAAGAAUCUUAGUGGACAUGGACGGAAGUACACACCUGGAGUGGACCUACAGAAGCUCAGAGUCAAAUGGCAGAAAGAUGAUAUGG